rnacentral:lncRNA from 1 species
CUGAGGCCGAGCACCCGAGGAAGGAGCAGGAGAGUCUGGCAGGACAGCUCCAAGCUCAGGUGCAAAACAAUCAAGGCUUGAGUCACCUGAACUGGGAGCAGGAGGAGAGGCUGCUGGAACGGGAGACGCUGCGGGAGCAGGAGAGGCUGCAGGAGCUGGAGGAGAAGCUGCAGGAGUAGGAGAGGCUGGGAGAGCGGGAGGAGAGUCUGCGGGAGCGGGAGGAGAGUCUGCGGGAGCGGGAGGAGAGGCUACGGGAGUGGGAGGAGAGGCUGCGGAGCAGGAGGACAGGCUGCUCGAGCUGGGGCGGAAAGCCAAGCUCUGGGAGGAGCAGGCAGAGACGUGCAUGCAGGCCCUGCGGAACCACACCACCAUCAACCACGUGCUCUCUCAGAACCAUGAGCUCGACUAGCAGCUGGCUGGGCCACAGAGCGGCUUAGAGGAGCUGAACAACGAGAAUAAGAGUGCACUACAGUUGGAGCAGCAAGUAAAGGAGCUGCAGGAGAAGCUGGGCAAGCUGAAGGAGACUGUAACCUCUGCCCAUCCAAGAAGGGCUGGGAGGAGCACCUGGAAGGUACCAGCCAGCAGAACCAGCAGCUACAGGCCCAGUUGAGCCUCAUGGCACUCCCUAGGCAAGGAGAUGGAGGAGAACAUCUGGACAACGUGGAAGAGGAGGCUC